ensembl:lncRNA
GAGCAGAGUGGAGUAAUCCAGUCAUUUGUAAUUACCGUCCAUAACCUUUUUGUUCUCGUCUGAUAUAUGAGGAAUGCUUCUCUGCAUACCAGUGGCGUUCGGUGACGAUUAAGAUUAGGGAGGACGAUUAUUUCUACGACAGCCUAUUGGAUGACUGUUAUUCAUACUCCAUUCACCCAGUUCAAUGUAACAUGGAUAGGUUUAGGCUACAACAUGAUACUAGAAUGUUCCCUGUAGCCCAUCAUGAGGUCGCUACAACCUAGCCUCUAAAUGGGGAGGCAGGUAGCCCAGUGGUUAGAGUGUUGGACUAGUAACCGAAAGAUCGAAUCCCUGAGCCGACAAGGUAAGAAUCUGUUGUUCUGUCCCUGAACAAGGCAGUUAACCCACCGUUCCUAGGUUGUCAUUGAAAAUUAAAGUUUACAACGCAAGUGCACACAAGUUUGAGAGAAACAUUAGAGUAAUCAAGGUGACAGACAAUGACACAUUCAACACCACCUUGUGCACUCUUGCCUGCAUCUAGCUGAUCUAGGGUGUAGUCAUUAGUCUAGCAGUUUCAAACAAGUGUUUCUGUUGGAUAAAUUCAGGUAUGUUAAUCCCUGUUCUGUUUGCUUCCAUCAAAGAAACAUUUUUUUCAACAGAAUCUGCUAAAUUAAUACACCCCUGGUCACUUUCAUAGCAGCCACAUACUAACAGCUCAUUGUAUUUAUUUGUUUUACCUUGAUUUAACAAGGCAAGUCAGUUAAGAACAAACUCUUAUUUUCAAUGACGUCCUAGGAACAGUGGGUUAACUGCCUCGUUCAGGGGCAGAACAACAGAUUAGUAACUUGUCAGCUCAGGGAUUUGAACUUGCAACCUUCCGGUUACUAGUCCAACACUCUAACCACUAGGCUACCCUUCCUUUUCGCAACAAUCUACGCAUUCUCCUCCAUUCACCUUUCCCCUCCGCUUGUGUACUUCAGUGCACAAACCCGUCAGCUUGUGACAAGGCGAAAAAACCUUUCCAAGCCAAACUUUCAUAUCAUGACCGCUAACCGCUAAACACAGCCUACAUUGUUAUCACGUCAUAGACCAUCA